rnacentral:rRNA from 1 species
UACGUAGGGGGCUAGCGUUGUCCGGAAUCAUUGGGCGUAAAGCGCGUGUAGGCGGUCCGGUAAGUCCGCUGUGAAAGUCGAGGGCUCAACCCUCGAAUGCCGGUGGAUACUGUCGGGCUUGAGUACGGGAGAGGCGAGUGGAAUUCCUGGUGUAGCGGUGAAAUGCGCAGAUAUCAGGAGGAACACCGGUGGCGAAGGCGGAUCUCUGGGCCUUACCUGACGCUCAGGUGCGAAAGCUAGGGGAGCGAACAGG